GUACUCCGCUAUCCUGGGCGGGAAUCCAAGACGGAACACACUUUCUUUUCCCGCUCCCGUUUUAAGAGCCGCGCGUAGUUUAGGGGGGGGGGGCAGAUCUGCUCCAGUUUACCUGCUGUUUACAUUUCUCAGCGUGUCCUUACGUGUAACAGUUCCAGCUGACCGUCUUGAGUUCGCAGCCUUGCCUUUCAUUGCAUUCAGGUGGCUGGGAACGUGCAGGGGAUGCUGUGGGGAGUUGAGUGGCUGCUUGGUGGGGUACCCCUAAUGGCACAGCCUGGUCUGGGUUGUAGCAAUACAGAAUGACCCUCCCCCCCCCCCAGCAGCAGCUGGGCUCCAGUACGGAGAGGAUGGCCUGGCCGACCACUUGUGACUGCACCGGCCCCAGGUCCGAAACGGUGAUCAAAAUGAAAAUGAAACGCGGGUUUUACGCGCCGGACGCACCUUUUCCAGAUCUAAGGAGUCGGGCCGGCUGUAAAACAUGCCGAGGGCAGUCUGCGCUUGGACGCUGGCUUUUGGGUUUCCGUCGUCUGCGGCGAGAAGCCAAAGUCUUGGGAGGGACAGGCAAAGGAAAAACGGGACAUUUCCAGUCAAGCCUCAGUCAGCGUCGCAGGGCUGGACACCGCAUCCUUCCAGGUACGCCCUGCCCACGUUGUACAGCGCGGCGUAUUUCAAGGGCCGAGCUUCGGGCAGGUCAGAGGAGGCCACUCGGAGCAUGUACUCCACAGCUCUCUCCUGUCGGAUUCACAAACACAGGCGGGCGAGAACCGUUUCUUCCGUUUUCUCACUGCGGUGCACCCCGAGCCUUUUAAAAAAAAAAACUUGCACAAGGCCGUAAGCACUAAACUGUUUAAGGGCUCUUGUUGACGUCUUCACAAGGGAAGUGGAGAGUAUCGGCAGAGAGGAGGCAGGAGUGUCUCAGGUAAGGCAGAAGCUCUCAAGAUGAUUAAAUCCCCAGGGCCUGACAGUAUCUUGCCAGUUGUUCUCAAGGACACGAGAGAUGUUAUUCAGAAGCCACUGACAGAACUAGUCCAGCAGUCUUAGCCAGGGACUGGAGAACUGCUCAUGCAGUCCCCGUUUAUACAGAAGGGUGAGGAAGCUGAAUCAGGUAAUUAUAGACCAAUACACUCUACUGUUAUUAAAACUAAACUAGGGAGCUGCGUCAGCAUGCAUAGGCAGCACAGGAACAAGUAAAGGUUUAUUCCCUGCUGAAAAGAGAAGAAAA